rnacentral:rRNA from 1 species
UACGGGGGGUGCGAGCGUUGUCCGGAAUCAUUGGGCGUAAAGCGCGCGUAGGCGGCCAGAUAAGUCCGGUGUGAAAGUCACAGGCUCAACCUGUGAAUGCCGCUGGAAACUGUCUGGCUAGAGUCCGGAAGGGGCGAGUGGAAUUCCUGGUGUAGCGGUGAAUGCGCAGAUAUCAGGAGGAACACCAAUGGCGAAGGCGGCUCACUGGCUCGGUACUGACGCUGAGGCGCGAAAGCGUGGGGAGCAAACAGG